rnacentral:rRNA from 1 species
GACUCGCCCCAGCCGGACGCGGACUGGACCAGCGGCCGCCGGGGACCCUCAAACUCUUGUAUUAUCAGCAUCUUCUGAAUACGCCGCAAGGCAAAACAAAUAAAUCAAAACUUUCAACAACGGAUCUCUUGGCUCUGGCAUCGAUGAAGAACGCAGCGAAAUGCGAUAAGUAAUGUGAAUUGCAGAAUCCAGUGAAUCAUCGAAUCUUUGAACGCACAUUGCGCCCGCCAGCAUUCUGGCGGGCAUGCCUGUUCGAGCGUCAUUUCAACCCUCGACCUCCCUUUGGGGAAGUCGGCGUUGGGGACCGGCAGCACACCGCCGGCCCUGAAAUAGAGUGGCGGCCCGUCCGCGGCGACCUCUGCGUAGUAAUCCAACUCGCACCGGAACCCCGACGCGGCCACGCCGUAAAACACCCAACUUCUGAACGUUGACCUCGAAUCAGGUAGGACUACCCGCUGAACUUAAGCAUAUCAAUAA